rnacentral:antisense_RNA from 1 species
GGGUGCCUGAAGCUGUUUGCUGCAGGCAUUAUUCAGGAGCAGACAGAAGAAGGCCCCAGGUCAAUUUUCAUUAACCUGAGGCCACUCCUGCACAUCCAACAAUGUCAGGAUAGCCUCUUAACAGCAGAUUUGCAAUGUAGGUUAAGAUG